rnacentral:rRNA from 1 species
GAUGAACGCUGGCGGUGUGCCUAAUACAUGCAAGUCGUACGGCAGCACAGAGGAGCUUGCUCCUUGGGUGGCGAGUGGCGGACGGGUGAGGAAUACAUCGGAAUCUACUUUUUCGUGGGGGAUAACGUAGGGAAACUUACGCUAAUACCGCAUACGACCUACGGGUGAAAGCAGGGGAUCUUCGGACCUUGCGCGAUUGAAUGAGCCGAUGUCGGAUUAGCUAGUUGGCGGGGUAAAGGCCCACCAAGGCGACGAUCCGUAGCUGGUCUGAGAGGAUGAUCAGCCACACUGGAACUGAGACACGGUCCAGACUCCUACGGGAGGCAGCAGUGGGGAAUAUUGGACAAUGGGCGCAAGCCUGAUCCAGCCAUACCGCGUGGGUGAAGAAGGCCUUCGGGUUGUAAAGCCCUUUUGUUGGGAAAGAAAUCCAGCCGGCUAAUACCUGGUUGGGAUGACGGUACCCAAAGAAUAAGCACCGGCUAACUUCGUGCCAGCCGCCGCCGUAA